rnacentral:rRNA from 1 species
AAUGGGGGAAACCCUGAUCCAGCAAUGCCGCGUGAGUGAUGAAGGCCUUCGGGUUGUAAAGCUCUUUUGUCAGGGACGAUGAUGACGGUACCUGACGAAUAAGCUCCGGCUAACUUCGUGCCAGCAGCCGCGGUAAUACGAGGGGAGCUAGCGUUGUUCGGAAUUACUGGGCGUAAAGGGCGUGUAGGCGGUACCAUAAGUCAGAUGUGAAAGCCCUAGGCUUAACCUAGGAGGUGCAUUUGAUACUGUGGAACUAGAGAUCGAGAGAGGAAAGUGGAAUUACGAGUGUAGAGGUGAAAUUCGUAGAUAUUCGUAAGAACACCAGUGGCGAAGGCGACUUUCUGGCUCGAUACUGACGCUAAGGCGCGAAAGCGUGGGGAGCAAA